rnacentral:rRNA from 1 species
ACCCUGCGGUGCAUUAGCUGGUUGGAGAGGUAACGGCUCACCAAGGCGACGAUGCAUAGCCGGCCUGAGAGGCGGACGGCCACACUGGGACUGAGACACGGCCCAGACUCCUGCGGGAGGCAGCAGUAGGGAAUUUUCGUCAAUGGGGGGAACCCUGAACGAGCAAUGCCGCGUGAGCGAGGAAGGUCUUCGGAUCGUAAAGCUCUGUUGCCGGGGACAAAAGGCAGAAAGAGUGGAAAGCUUUCUGAGUGAUGGUACCCGGCGAGGAAGUCACGGCUAACUACGUGCCAGCAGCCGCGGUAAU